GGAUUCUUCAACAUGCUCCGUCUCUGGCGUCUCAGAAGAGUUAGUGCACUAUUUGCAAGACUAGAGAAAGAUAGGCACUUCAACUACUUUUGGGUUCGAUGUGCAAAACUUAUUUGUGUGACUCUAUUUGCUGUGCACUGUGCUGGGUGCUUCUAUUAUCUUCUC